GCAGAUUCCGCUAUCGAGUGUUGC
rnacentral:siRNA from 1 species